ACGGAGGAUCCAAGCGUUAUCCGGAUUUAUUGGGUUUAAAGGGUGCGUAGGCGGCUUAUUAAGUCAGGGGUGAAAGACGGUGGCUCAACCAUCGCAGUGCCUUUGAUACUGAUGAGCUUGAAUAUACUAGAGGUAGGCGGAAUGUGACAAGUAGCGGUGAAAUGCAUAGAUAUGUCACAGAACACCGAUUGCGAAGGCAGCUUACUAUGGUAUUAUUGACGCUGAGGCACGAAAGCGUGGGGAUCAAACAGG
rnacentral:rRNA from 1 species